CCUACGGGUGGCAGCAGUGAGGAAUAUUGGUCAAUGGACGAGAGUCUGAACCAGCCAAGUAGCGUGAAGGAUGACUGCCCUAUGGGUUGUAAACUUCUUUUAUAUGGGAAUAAAAUGUUCCACGUGUGGGAUUUUGUAUGUACCAUAUGAAUAAGGAUCGGCUAACUCCGUGCCAGCAGCCGCGGUACUACGGAGGAUCCGAGCGUUAUCCGGAUUUAUUGGGUUUAAAGGGAGCGUAGGUGGAUUGUUAAGUCAGUUGUGAAAGUUUGCGGAUCAACCGUAAAAUUGCAGUGGAAACUGGCAGUCUUGAGUGCAGUAGAGGUGGGCGGAAGUCGUGGUGUAGCGGUGAAAUGCUUAGAUAUCACGAAGAACUCCGAUUGCGAAAGCAGUUCACUGGACUGCAACUGACACUGAGGCUCGAAAGUGUGGGUAUCAAACAGGAUUAGAUACCCGAGUAGUC
rnacentral:rRNA from 1 species